UUAUCCACCUGGAAUAAAGUCUUGAUGCAUGGAGAUAAAUCAGCCUUAUGGAAAUCAUUAAGCAGUAUGAAUGAAGAUGAAAGUCAACCUGGAUAAAGAGUUUGGUGGUGAUGGAAUUAUCAUUAUACGGUCAAAACCAAAACUUGUUUCAUUGAGAGAUACUUCUAUUGAUGACAGCUACCUGUCAAACUUGAAAAGUGACCACUUGAAGGCGCAUGUACCAGCCAGCAUGAGGAUCUAUGCCCUGGAUGACUGCUGUCAGUAGGGGAGAGGGGUUGCUCCCCUAGUUCCACUCCCUCCUGGAGGUCCAGUCUACCCACCUUCAGAUGUACAGAUGCCUAGAUCUCUGAUGCAUCUUGCGUACUUUAUAGGGAAUCCUCUCUUGGUCCAUGGAUGUCAUUGGUUAUAACUUAGAGAAGAGAGACAAAGGGAACAACUCAUUUUGACAUGAUGCUGAUGUCACUCUCCAGUCUCUUGAAUUUAAAAUGUAGAUC
rnacentral:lncRNA from 1 species